rnacentral:lncRNA from 1 species
UGGAAUAAGGAAUGGACAAUAAUGUGGAAAUAAGGAAUAAGGAAUGGACUAUAAGGUUUAAUUAUAUAUACUAGGGACUUGCCAAUUAUGUUUCUCGGCAGUCCCAUUCUUUGUCAAGCCGUGGCCGUACAAUUUUGUACUUUUGCCAAAUAAAAUAUUUCUUACUUUAUAUAUUUGUAUGUCAUUUGGCCCCACGUUGUCUCAGAUAAUAAGAUUUAUUCCUAUGAAGAAUAAAUCCGGUUAUCGGAGGAAAGUGGGCUUACGUUUUGGGAGUUGUCCCGCUUUGAACACGUGGUGGAACUUGUUAUGUAUUAUGAGUCACGUUAAUUAUUUUAACCUUGAUAACUGUGACGUCAUCAUUCUUUCUUUACCACGUACGAUACAGCAGAGGGAAGACGCAAAAAAUUGGGUUCCGUAUGAAUUAACUAAUGUUUGUUUCAAAAGUUACCCACCCACCCACCACUUAGAUAAAAGACAUACUCCUAAAAUGUAGUUAAUAUACAUGUGUUAAAUGUUAUAUUAUGUUAUAUCAUGUUGUUCGUUUUUCUGCUGUUUUUGUUCUAUUUUUCAGGUUGAAAUGACUGGUAGCUUAUUCCGAUUGUAAUCCCAAUCCUUCGUCACGGCUUCAGACAAAGACUCCGACCAUUUAAUGGCGAAAAUAGCGACACAACAUCUACAAAUAUAUUAUGCUUCUUAUAAUGGAAUUAUGUAUCCGCUGAGCUUCUGUUUCCCAGGGCCAGCAUCCGAUAUAUUUUGGAAGCAAUAAUGUUAAUAAGGAUAUUAUAUUGAUAUAUAAGGAAAUGACAUUAUAAGGAAUAACAAUAAGGUGGAAAUAAGGAAUAAGAAUAAUGUGGAAAUAAGGAAUAAGGAAUGGACAAUAAUGUGGAAAUAAGGAAUAAGGAAUGGACAAUAAUGUGGAAAUAAGGAAUAAGGAAUGGACUAUAAGGUUUAAUUAUAUAUACUAGGGACUUGCCAAUUAUGUUUCUCGGCAGUCCCAUUCUUUGUCAAGCCGUGGCCGUACAAUUUUGUACUUUUGCCAAAUAAAAUAUUUCUUACUUUAUAUAUUUGUAUGUCAUUUGGCCCCACGUUGUCUCAGAUAAU